CCCUGGGAUUGAGCUCCGGGCGCGGGCUCGGGGUCUCCUCUGGGGUGUGCGGUGCCCUCGGUUAAGCCCCCUGUAGCUUUUGCUGCUCCCUCGCAUCUCUUUUCGGUCCCCGGUCCCCGAUUCCCAGCGCCAUCCACGGUCGCUGGCAUGUCCGUCCGAUGCUCCCGCCCGGGAACCAAGCAAAUGAGAGAACAGACCGCAGUCGAGCUCAGGGGCAUCAUCCUUUUGCCUCGGCCAAGCCGUUAGGGAAAGGCACUUUUCACCUUCUCUCCAUCCCCCUAUCCUAAUGUAUCAGUGGGAAGGGGGCACGGGACGGCAAACCGCCUAGAGCAAGGAACACAGCCUCAAGUUUCUUGCUUUGCUGGCUGCUUGAGAGAGAUGAGCUGCAGGUUCUGACACCCCAGCACCAAAAGACACAGGUAAUCAGUAAAAGGAAUGAGGAUAUUUAUUUUGGUUUAAGGUUCCUGGCUGUUUUAACUAUUAACUGUUGUCUCCAUUCACCCAUCUCCUCCCCCAAGCAUCCUGUUUAACACUACCCAGUGACUGCCAGAGGUAGGUCUGCAUGCUUGCUGAUAAAACCACCCAGAUUAUAUAGGCCCAAGGAAAGAGAUUAUUGCUUAACUAUGCUUGUUUUAAUUUUUUGCUUUAGGAAAGGGAAUAAUUGUGAGGCAGGUAAGGGACCAUAUACCAGCCAAUCAACUUGUAUUGGGGUCUUUUGGAGGAUGAUAAAAA